GCAGCCGCGGUGAUACGUAGGGUGCGAGCGUUGUCCGGAUUUAUUGGGCGUAAAGGGCUCGUAGGUGGUUGAUCGCGUCGGAAGUGUAAUCUUGGGGCUUAACCCUGAGCGUGCUUUCGAUACGGGUUGACUUGAGGAAGGUAGGGGAGAAUGGAAUUCCUGGUGGAGCGGUGGAAUGCGCAGAUAUCAGGAGGAACACCAGUGGCGAAGGCGGUUCUCUGGGCCUUUCCUGACGCUGAGGAGCGAAAGCGUGGGGAGCGAACAGGCUUAGAUACCCUGGUAGUCCACGCUGUAAACGGUGGGUACUAGGUGUGGGGUCCAUUCCACGGGUUCCGUGCCGUAGCUAACGCUUUAAGUACCCCGCCUGGGGAGUACGGCCGCAAGGCUAAAACUCAAAGGAAUUGACGGGGCCCCGCACAAGCGGCGGAGCAUGCGGAUUAAUUCGAUGCAACGCGUAGAACCUUACCUGGGUUUGACAUGGAUCGGGAGUGCUCAGAGAUGGGUGUGCCUCUUUUGGGGUCGGUUCACAGGUGGUGCAUGGCUGUCGUCAGCUCGUGUCGUGAGAUGUUGGGUUAAGUCCCGCAACGAGCGCAACCCUUGUUCACUGUUGCCAGCACGUUAUGGUGGGGACUCAGUGGAGACCGCCGGGGUCAACUCGGAGGAAGGUGGGGAUGACGUCAAGUCAUCAUGCCCCUUAUGUCCAGGGCUUCACGCAUGCUACAAUGGCUGGUACAGAGAGUGGUGAGCCUGUGAGGGUGAGCGAAUCUCGGAAAGCCGGUCUCAGUUCGGAUUGGGGUCUGCAACUCGACCUCAUGAAGUCGGAGUCGCUAGUAAUCGCAGAUCAGCAACGCUGCGGUGAAUACGUUCCCGGGGCUUGUACACACCGCCCGU
rnacentral:rRNA from 1 species